AAAGUCGUAACAAGGUUUCCGUAGGUGAACCUGCGGAAGGAUCAUUAACACGUAUCCACGUAUCAACCCUUGUGCUCUUUGUUUUGGAAUGGAAUCAACUGAGGUGAGAGCGAAAUGCGCAAGCGUAUCGUGAUUGUCUCUUUUGACUUCCAAUCUAACCUUUUUUUACUAUUUUCUUUAAACCCUUUGUACCUUUCUUACUGAAACUUGAUUGUCUUUUGAUUUCGCGGGGGCUUCGGCCUUCUGUGGAGUGAAAAACAAUUAUUUUACGAAAUGCUUGACAACUCUUAGCAACGGAUAUCUUGGUUCUC
rnacentral:misc_RNA from 1 species